AGCGUAGACGGCGCAGCAAGUCUGAUGUGAAAGGCUGGGGCUCAACCCCGGGACUGCAUUGGAAACUGCCCGUCUUGAGUGCCGGAGAGGUAAGCGGAAUUCCUAGUGUAGCGGUGAAAUGCGUAGAUAUUAGGAGGAACACCAGUGGCGAAGGCGGCUUACUGGACGGUAACUGACGUUGAGGCUCGAAAGCGUGGGGAGCAAACA
rnacentral:rRNA from 1 species